UACGUAGGGAGCAAGCGUUGUCCGGAAUCAUUGGGCGUAAAGCGCGCGUAGGCGGCCCUGUAAGUCCGUUGUGAAAGUCAAGGGCUCAACCUUUGAAAGCCGAUGGAUACUGCAGGGCUAGAGUCCGGAAGAGGCGAGUGGAAUUCCUGGUGUAGCGGUGGAAUGCGCAGAUAUCAGGAGGAACACCAAUAGCGAAGGCAGCUCGCUGGGACGGUACUGACGCUAAGGCGCGAAAGCGUGGGGAGCAAAAGGG
rnacentral:rRNA from 1 species